CCGCGGCGCAUUAGCUAGUUGGUGAGGUAACGGCUCACCAAGGCAACGAUGCGUAGCCGACCUGAGAGGGUGAUCGGCCACACUGGGACUGAGACACGGCCCAGACUCCUACGGGAGGCAGCAGUAGGGAAUCUUCCGCAAUGGACGAAAGUCUGACGGAGCAACGCCGCGUGAGUGAUGAAGGUUUUCGGAUCGUAAAGCUCUGUUGUUAGGGAAGAACAAGUACCGUUCGAAUAGGGCGGUACCUUGACGGUACCUAACCAGAAAGCCACGGCUAACUACGUGCCAGCAGCCGCGGUAAUACGUAGGUGGCAAGCGUUGUCCGGAAUUAUUGGGCGUAAAGGGCUCGCAGGCGGUUUCUUAAGUCUGAUGUGAAAGCCCCCGGCUCAACCGGGGAGGGUCAUUGGAAACUGGGGAACUUGAGUGCAGAAGAGGAGAGUGGAAUUCCACGUGUAGCGGUGAAAUGCGUAGAGAUGUGGAGGAACACCAGUGGCGAAGGCGACUCUCUGGUCUGUAACUGACGCUGAGGAGCGAAAGCGU
rnacentral:rRNA from 2 species